rnacentral:rRNA from 1 species
GAUGAACGCUGGCGGCGUGCCUAGUACAUGCAAGUCGAGCGAACGGAUGAGAAGCUUGCUUCUCUGAUGUUAGCGGCGGACGGGUGAGUAACACGUGGAUAACCUACCUAUAAGACUGGGAUAACUUCGGGAAACCGUAGCUAAUACCGGAUAAUAUUUUGAACCGCAUGGUUCAAAAGUGAAAGACGGUCUUGCUGUCACUUAUAGAUGGAUCCGCGCUGCAUUAGCUAGUUGGUAAGGUAACGGCUUACCAAGGCAACGAUGCAUAGCCGACCUGAGAGGGUGAUCGGCCACACUGGAACUGAGACACGGUCCAGACUCCUACGGGAGGCAGCAGUAGGGAAUCUUCCGCAAUGGGCGAAAGCCUGACGGAGCAACGCCGCGUGAGUGAUGAAGGUCUUCGGAUCGUAAAACUCUGUUAUUAGGGAAGAACAUAUGUGUAAGUAACUGUGCACAUCUUGACGGUACCUAAUCAGAAAGCCACGGCUAACUACGUG